rnacentral:rRNA from 1 species
CAGCCAUGCCGCGUGCAGGAUGACUGCUCCCUAUGGGAUUGUAAACUGCUUUUAUCCGGGAAUAAACCUCAUUACGUGUAAUGAGCUGAAUGUACCGGAAGAAUAAGGAUCGGCUAACUCCGUGCCAGCAGCCGCGGUAAUACGGAGGAUCCAAGCGUUAUCCGGAUUUAUUGGGUUUAAAGGGUGCGUAGGCGGCCUGUUAAGUCAGGGGUGAAAGACGGUAGCUCAACUAUCGCAGUGCCCUUGAUACUGAUGGGCUUGAAUGGACUAGAGGUAGGCGGAAUGAGACAAGUAGCGGUGAAAUGCAUAGAUAUGUCUCAGAACACCGAUUGCGAAGGCAGCUUACUAUGGUCUUAUUGACGCUGAGGCACGAAAGCGUGGGGAUCAAACAGGAUUAGAUACCCUGGUAGUCCACGCCCUAAACGAUGAACACUCGCUGUUGGCGAUACACAGUCAGCGGCUAAGCGAAAGCGUU